UAGGGAAUCUUCGGCAAUGGACGAAAGGCUGACCGAGCAACGCCGCGUGAGUGAAGAAGGUUUUCGGAUCGUAAAACUCUGUUGUUAGAGAAGAACAAGGACGUUAGUAACUGAACGUCCCCUGACGGUAUCUAACCAGAAAGCCACGGCUAACUACGUGCCAGCAGCCGCGGUAAUACGUAGGUGGCAAGCGUUGUCCGGAUUUAUUGGGCGUAAAGCGAGCGCAGGCGGUUUCUUAAGUCUGAUGUGAAAGCCCCCGGCUCAACCGGGGAGGGUCAUUGGAAACUGGGAGACUUGAGUGCAGAAGAGGAGAGUGGAAUUCCAUGUGUAGCGGUGAAAUGCGUAGAUAUAUGGAGGAACACCAGUGGCGAAGGCGGCUCUCUGGUCUGUAACUGACGCUGAGGCUCGAAAGCGGGGGGAGCAAACAGG
rnacentral:rRNA from 1 species